UACGUAGGGUGCAAGCGUUGUCCGGAAUUAUUGGGCGUAAAGAGCUCGUAGGCGGUUUGUUGCGUCGGCUGUGAAAUCCCGAGGCUCAACCUUCAGAGGUCGACCGAAACCAUCUGGCUAGAGUCCGGGAGAGGGUAGUGGAAUUCCCGGUGUAGUGGUGAAAUGCGUAGAUAUCGGGAGGAACACCAGUGGCGAAGGCGACUACCUGGCCUGUUCUUGACGCUGAGGCGCGAAAGCUAGGGUAGCAAACGGG
rnacentral:rRNA from 1 species